rnacentral:rRNA from 1 species
CCUACGGGAGGCAGCAGUAAGGAAUAUUGGUCAAUGGAGGCAACUCUGAACCAGCCAUGCCGCGUGCAGGAUGACGGCCCUAUGGGUUGUAAACUGCUUUUAUACAAGAGAAAACCCUGGUACGUGUACCAGGUUGAUAGUAUUGUAAGAAUAAGCAUCGGCUAACUUCGUGCCAGCAGCCGCGGUAAGACGAAGGAUGCAAGCGUUAUCCGGAUUCAUUGGGUUUAAAGGGUGCGUAGGCGGACUGAUAAGUCAGUGGUGAAAUCUCUUUGCUUAACAAAGAAACUGCCAUUGAUACUGUCGGUCUAGAGUAUAGAUGACGUUGGCGGAAUAUGACAUGUAGUGGUGAAAUACUUAGAUAUGUCAUAGAACACCGAUUGCGAAGGCAGCUAACGAAACUAUAACUGACGCUGAGGCACGAAAGUGCGGGGAUCAAACAGGAUUAGAUACCCUGGUAGUCCGCACCGUAAACGAUGAUUACUCGUUGUUGGUCGAUAUGACAGUCAGCGACCAAGCGAAAGCGAUAAGUAAUCCACCUGGGGAGUACGCCGGCGAACGGUGAAACUCAAAGGAUUAGACGG